rnacentral:rRNA from 1 species
AUUGAACGCUGGCGGCAGGCCUAACACAUGCAAGUCGAGCGGAUGAAGGGAGCUUGCUCCUGGAUUCAGCGGCGGACGGGUGAGUAAUGCCUAGGAACCUGCCUGGCAGUGGGGGAUAACGUCCGGAAACGGGCGCUAAUACCGCAUACGUCCUGAGGGAGAAAGUGGGGGAUCUUCGGACCUCACGCUAUCAGAUGAGCCUAGGUCGGAUUAGCUAGUUGGUGGGGUAAAGGCCUACCAAGGCGACGAUCCGUAACUGGUCUGAGAGGAUGAUCAGUCACACUGGAACUGAGACACGGUCCAGACUCCUACGGGAGGCAGCAGUGGGGAAUAUUGGACAAUGGGCGAAAGCCUGAUCCAGCCAUGCCGCGUGUGUGAAGAAGGUCUUCGGAUUGUAAAGCACUUUAAGUUGGGAGGAAGGGCAGUAAGUUAAUACCUUGCUGUUUUGACGUUACCAACAGAAUAAGCACCGGCUAACUUCGUG